AGAAAAAGGACUUCGGUUAAAUUUUUGUCUUUCGCUUUGUAUGCUUUUUACUCCCCCUCCGCUGCUUUGAUAAAAUAAAUUUGGCACAGCCAUUUGAGGGACUACUAUACAGCUGUUAAAAUUAUGUUGUGGGACUGGAUACUGUAGUUCAGUGGUAGAACAUGUGCUUAGCGUAGCAAGGCUGUGUCUCCAAAUCUCAUCAUCAAACAACAAAAACCCCAUUGUCAUGGAAACACAUUAAUUGCCUAAAAAUGCUCAGUGCAUUUUAAGAGAAACAUUUGAGUUAAAGAGUACUAUGUAUGCAGUUAUGACAUUUUAAAAAAUUACAUAUGUACUCUGGUUUCUCUUCAGAUUGAAUAAGUCUUUCGCCUUUUACUAAAGAUUUCCGUGGAAAGAAGUCUUGAGUUCUUAACUAAUUUUUUGAGGCCUUGCUUUGGCAGGAUUUAAAAAAAAAUGUGACAGCAAAAAGGCAUGAGAGGGAAAAAAAGACAUGAGUGAACUUUUAGGGUGCGGGACCUGUUCUGUUUUGGUCGCAGUGGUAGUUACAACAGCCACAAAUCCUCAAACUAUAAGGCCAGUUUAAAAAGAGACAGCUGUUGCUAGUCUCAGCUUCAUAGGGCUGCAUCUUAUAAUGUAAGAUACCAGAAAAAUAUGAUUAAAUUUACGUAUGAUGUUUUAUAAAAUGACUUGUUGCUCAAGAAGUAUACUUUCUAUAUUUGGUUUCUUUGUAUGCUUUGAGACAGGUCUCACUAUGUAGCCCAGCCUGGCCUCGAACUUGUGGCGAUCCUCCUGCCUCAGCCUCCUAAGUGCUGGGAUUACAGGCGUGCACCACAAUGCUGGACUUUCUAUAUUUGUAAAUAAUAUUUGAUCAUGAUAAUGAUAGAAUUUAAAUGUCUUCAGCCAAAUAGACCUUCCAAAGAACAGAAUCAUGAUAUUUAUAUUUACAUAAUGCAUUGAAUUGAUUUCUGCAGUCCACACUCGUAUCUCUAGUAGGCUUGCCAUUGUUCUGGGCAUGGGAAAUGCAGACAAGUAAGACAUGAGCCUUGCCCUUAUAUAAGAAAAUACAGUCAACUAGUCAGAAAUUUGAGAGAGCAAAAAGAAGCUCUCCUUUCACACAGUUACUGCUUUUUUUUUUUUUUUUUGAGACAAGGUCUAUUCUGGGUUGGCCUUGAGCUCACUGUGUAGCCCAGGCUGGCCUCAAACUCACAGCAAUCCACCUGCUUCAGCUUCCGCAGUGCUGGGAUUACAGGCAUGUGCCACCACACCCAGCAGAAAUUUUAGAAAUGGAUGUAACCUUUCUGCAAAAGAAGUGCCACCCCAGGGACCCCGCCCUGGUGAUCUUGUCGAACCCUAGUGACCUCCCAGAGGCUCCACCUUCAAAUACCAUCAGUGCACAAAUUUGAGGACUAGAUUUCUAACAACUGAAGUUUGGAUGACGCAUUCGAACUAUGACAGAGGCUAAAACAACUUAAGUAGUGAUCGAGGGAAAGACACAAACAGAAGCCCUUGGAGACGGGCAGACGGGGCAAGAGCUUAAAAAAAAUCUGGAAAGGAAACUGAGGAAGCAGAAAGGCAAAGACUUGACAAAUGAGAGGAACAAGAGGAUGAGCCAGAGGAUCAGAUGCGGGAGCAGCCACGGAGUGAGAUGCAGGCUGUGAGGGAAAAGACAGAGAGGGAGCGGAGGGAGGAGACGAAGACAAAAGCUGCGCCCGGCACCUCUGCCGGUCCUUUCCAGGGACACAGCUUCCUGGUGAGCUUCGCAAACUUGGAGAAACACCACGGACUCUUUUUUCAGUACCAGGGGCCAAACUCAGGACCUUGCAUUUGGGAGGCAGGCGCGGUACCACUGAGCUAGACCCCAGCCCAGCACCACCGGACUCUGACCGUCACUUUCCCUAUCCACUGUUCCCUUGCUGCAGUGGACACGGGCAGCAUUUUACAAUCCGGCCGACCCGUGGGGUGACCUAGGGUCCCCUUCCCCUCCUCCUCCUCCUCCUCCUCCUCCUCCUCCUCCUCCUCCAGCUCCUAUUCCUUCUUCCCCUUCCCCUUCCCCUUCCCUUUCUCCCUCGCUGUGUCCCUCUCCCUCUCCUUUUCCUUCUUCGCCUUCUUCUUCUUUUUGAGCCAGGGUUUCUCCGUGUAGUUCAGGCUGGCCUUGAACUCACUGUGUAGCCCAGGCUGGCCUCAGACUUGUGGUAAUACUCCUGCCUCGGUCUCCCGAGGGCUGGCAUCACAAGCGCCCACCCCAUGCCCGCCUUCUGCUCCUUUAGGAAAUGUGAUGUCGUCGUUUCAGAACACCCACCCCAUGCUGACCAAGGAGCAAUCUACCCACCAGCACAAUGAAAAGCACUGCACAUCUUUCGGCUGCAGAUGCGAGGAUGAAGAAGGGAGCGAGUGAGGGAGGACAGGGAGGCUGGUGACUUAUACGCUCUCUAUAGAAUGAAUCUCCCUUGUUCUAAUACUGGGGACAAUCGAAAGCCGUCUGCUUUGAGCCAUUUAGCACAUACAGUAGGCUUAUAAAGGACCACUCAGGUCCGGGGAGCUGAACUCAGGUUACUUACAUCAGACUUGCAGAAGUGUCACCAUUGUGCCAGGCUUCAGGAGUGCCCUUGAGAGCACAGUGUCCUAGGGAGGGAGCUGCCAGCUGAACCCAGCAGAGCCCAGCCAUCUAACAUUCAGGGCCUGGUGAGGGAAGGCCUGCCGCGUGUCAGGUCAUUGUCCACACUCAGCUCCCAUCCCAUAUGGAUCAGGGAGUUGGAUUCUGCCCCAGACUUCUGUGAGAGGUGUGUGCUAACACUUAGCUCCAGGCCUGCGUGAAAUAGGCUUCGUCCUUCUCCCAUAGUUUUCUAUGCAUAGCUACCCAAUGGCAUUAUCUAUAAAGGUGAGAUCAGAACAUUGUAGAUCCUGAGGUGGAAGCCUCUCCACAUGGGCUUCUGCAGCCCUGUGUCCUAACCCAGGCUUGAGGUAGACAACGGUGGAGCCAGCAGCAAAGACGCCCCAGGGUCUCUGUGCCCCUGAGUCCUAGCCCUCACCUGGACACACCCACGGAAGCUGGGCUUGGAGCCAGUCUCCUGACCGGUCGACUCGACGGAGGUGGGGGUGCUGUCCCAUCAAGGAGGAGGGAGGCUGGGAUUUGCAUAUCCUAGUGAGAAGAUUUUGGUUCCCUUCAUGAGGGAAUUCACUUGCAUGUAGGCUUGGGACCAAGAUGUGAAGAAAAGGAAGAAAUGAUGAUCUUCAUGAAGACAUUUGCAGAACAAUUGCAGUGUUUUAAUUUUCUUGCAAGAUUUCACAGAAACUCUCUUUUUGCAAUCAAAGGAUUAGCUGCCCUGAGAACCAGGAGGACACCUGCAAGAGUUGUGCUGUGCGGGGCUCUCAGCAUGAAGACGAGGCUCCUGCUUCCCUCCACACGGACCUCAGAUGGAGAAAGUGAAGGUCCUUGGGCUGUUUCUGGGGUGAGGGGCUGGGGGCCUCCGCAGCAUGAGCAGGUGCUGAGACUCAGCAGGGCUCUUGGUGCUGGUGGGGCAGUGCUCAGCUGGGGCAGGACAGGAUGGGGCUUCCUUUCUCCUGCCACAGCUCUGCCUUUAGGUCCACAGGCCUAGGUCAGCGCCCUGCCCACCUGCUCCAUACCACACGCUGUCUGGGAGGACCAGGUGCCUCAGACUCCUGUAGUUGGGACCACCCGGAGGGUGCAAUUCAAUUAUCUUGGGCUUCAGAGACCCACAGAAUCCACCACCCGGCCCCCCACUCCCUAGCCAGGUAAUUAAAUGAAUGAUGCAAAAAAGGAAAAAGGAUUGGUCAAGCUUUUUUGGAUGUAACUGAAAAGCAUACUUUCUCAUCUUUUAUAUUCAUCCCAACAAAGGUAACCCUAUUUUAAAGCCCUGUAUUUGUAUCCUGUGUGACCGAGACUAAUUUAACCCAAAGUAAGACAAGCGUCACGCUCCGCCUGAGGCCAGCGGCCGCUCCUGCCUCUUGUGAGCAUCACUCACCUCAAACUCUCACACAUUGUAAUACUCGAGAAGCUUAGGCCUGGAAGGGCUGUGUCUCCGUGGGUCGACCCAGGAGACUUUGCACAGAAUUGUCCCUUUACAUGAAGUCAGUGUCAGGCACAGCCAAAAGUUUUUGGGUUACCUCUUUGUAAAUCAACAGUUGAGAUUGUUGUUGUGCGUACGUGGGUGUGGCUGGAAUCAAAUGCCCUCUGUGACCAACAGUUCUUUCUUCACACUGCACUGCUUUCAUGCUGGUUCUCAUGAAUAAAACAUAUUCACAUGACAGCUUGUACUUUUCCGUCUUUGCUCGGCUUAUGCAGAUAGCCACUUCCUUCAGGCAGUGUGAGGAGAGUCUGGC
rnacentral:lncRNA from 1 species